rnacentral:rRNA from 1 species
AUGGGCAAUGAUGCUUUGGGUAGUUAUCAGUAUUCUGGAACUAGCAACUCACCUAAUCAACAAGGACAGGGGUAUGGUUAUACUGGUUUCAAUUUAAAUCAAUCUGGUACUAGCGCUGGGCCUGCAAGUAUUGGGAGCAGAUCACAGAUGACAUGCUAUAAAUGUGAGAAUACUGGUCAUGCUGUUAAGGAUUGUCAGACUGUGUUAUUUUGCGUCAACUGCACCAAGGAUUCACACCUCUCGCGCAAGUGCUCUUUCCUGUCACAACCUAAGCAUGUUGCCAGUCUGGUUGGUAGUGCUGCUGAUGGUUUGCAGAUGUUCUCAGCAAGGACCGGAAAGAAGUCGGAGCCAGAUAAAAACAAGCAGGCUAUAGCUAUUGUUACUGUGAAAAAUGCAAGCCUGACUGCGUUACAGCUUGUUAACUCUCUCAGCAUGAUGUUCCAGUGGGGAUGGGAGUGGCAGGCUAAGCCUUACCUCAGAGACAGCUUUUUAGUCAAAUUCCCUUCCGUGAAUAAAAUCGAUGAAAUGAAGGCGUACAAUUUCUUUGGUCUGAUUGGAACAACAACUAAUAUCAAAGUAGACAGAUGGACCAACUCUUCAACUGCAGCUUUCAAACUGUAUGUUUGCUGGGUUAGAAUAACAGGGGUUCCCGAGACACUGGAGCACUAUCAAGGUUUUUGUGAAGCUGGCUCUCUCAUUGGUUCAGUUUUGGAACUGGACAUGGAGCUCUAUAGGCAAUGUGGAGUUCUCAGGGCUAAGAUUGGAGUUAUGGAUCCUAGGAAAAUACCCUCUAGCGCUCCCCUGAAUGAAAGUGGUUUUAUCUUCAACAUAUACUUUGAACUGGAAGACAUAGUGGAGGAGGGUGGUCCUAUGGAGGGUGGUAUCUUGGUUAGCUAUCCUAGUGGUCCUGAUUCAUCUCAUAACGCUACAGAGAAAAGACCGAGAGAGCAAAGUAACAAUGAGGAGGUGGGAUGUAGCAAAUCUCCCAAACAUGGUACUGGGGCUGGAAAGUCGGAUAAAGGAAACACUUCAGUUUCAUCAGAGGUUGUGAUUCCGAGUCAAUACGAACUUGAUAAGAACAUGGUUGCUGAAAAUGAGGUGAGGCAAAAAUUACUUGACAAAAGCCGGGAUGCUGAAAGAGUUCUCUCUGGUGUGGAACAGGUUAAUGCCGAGUUUGUUAGUAGCGCUGCUAUGUUGGAAGAUUUCACGGAAGUGCCUGACAGCCAAAAGGAAGAAGAGUUUGAUUGCACUCAAGACCCAGAUGACUUUGCUAGGAGGCUUGGGAUUAGCACUCAAAAAGUUAAAGAAAUCAAUGCCAAUGUUGAGAGGGAGAUGAUUGCGGAGGAAAAUGAGAAUCUGCUACUAGCACAAGAUAAGGAAAAUAGGAGCCCUUCUCUCAUUAGCUCCACUCAGGCUGUGACCGCUCCCGGGAGAGAAGUGAAUCAGAAGCAAACUCCCUUCUCUGACAAAGUUGACGUAUGUUUACAAUACCCCUUACAAGACCUGUGUGGUGUCGAUGUAGUCAACAAGCAGAAAAUGAGGGAGGCUGAAGCCAGAGUUCAGAAAGCAAAAGACAAGGCGGCGCUUGAUGAAGCUGCUAGGAGAAGGAGUGAAAGGCGUAAGAAUAAAGAUGAGGGGCAGACUAUGGACAAGGCUACUGAAAUGGCAAAGAAGAAAAAUCUGGAAAUGGCACCAGAGAAAAGGUGUGCAAAAAAUGCUUAG